rnacentral:rRNA from 1 species
GACGAACGCUGGUGGCAUGCCUAACACAUGCAAGUCGAGCGAGUUGAUUUCUUCGGAAUGAAGCUAGCGGCGGACGGGUGAGUAACACGUGGGCAACCUGCCUCAUAGAGGGGAAUAGCCUUCCGAAAGGAAGAUUAAUACCGCAUAAGAUUGUAGUACCGCAUGGUAUAGCAAUUAAAGGAGUAAUCCGCUAUGAGAUGGGCCCGCGGCGCAUUAGCUAGUUGGUGAGGUAACGGCCCACCAAGGCGACGAUGCGUAGCCGACCUGAGAGGGUGAUCGGCCACAUUGGGACUGAGACACGGCCCAGACUCCUACGGGAGGCAGCAGUGGGGAAUAUUGCACAAUGGGGGAAACCCUGAUGCAGCAAUGCCGCGUGAGUGAUGACGGCCUUCGGGUUGUAAAGCUCUGUCUUCGGGGACGAUAAUGACGGUACCCGAGGAGGAAGCCACGGCUAACUACGUGCCAGCCGCCGCGGUAA